rnacentral:rRNA from 1 species
CAACAGGGAUUGCCUCAGUAACGGCGAGUGAAGCGGCAGAAGCUCAAAUUUGAAAUCUGACGUCCCCGACGUCCGAGUUGUAAUUUGGAGAGGCAUCUUCUGGAGGGGCCCAGCCUAUGUUCCUUGGAACAGGACGUCAUAGAGGGUGAGAAUCCCGUUCUUGGCUGGAUGUCCCCACCUGUAUGUAGUGUCUUCCACGAGUCGAGUUGUUUGGGAAUGCAGCUCAAAAUGGGUGGUAAAUUUCAUCUAAAGCUAAAUAUUGGCGAGAGACCGAUAGCGCACAAGUAGAGUGAUCGAAAGAUGAAAAGCACUUUGAAAAUAGAGUCAAACAGUACGUGAAAUUGUUGAAAGGGAAGCGCUUGAGACCAGACUCAGCCUCGGGCAAGCAACCCUCCUUCUGGUGGGUGUCCUCCUUCGGGUGGGUGCACUUGCCCUUGGCUGGGCCAGCAUCAGUUGGGAGGGCGGGAUAAAGGCCCAGGGAAUGUGGCUCCUCUCGGGGAGUGUUAUAGCCCUGGGUGCCAUGCCGCCGCUCCCGACUGAGGACCGCGCUUCGGCAAGGAUGCUGGCGUAAU